rnacentral:misc_RNA from 1 species
GAUGAAGAACGCAGCGAAAUGCGAUAAGUAGUGUGAAUUGCAGAAUUCAGUGAAUCAUCGAAUCUUUGAACGCACAUUGCGCCCCUUGGAAUUCCAUGGGGCAUGCCUGUUCGAGCGUCAUUUGUACCUUCAAGCUUUGCUUGGUGUUGGGUGUUUGUCUCGCCUUUGCGUGUAGACUCGCCUUAAAAUAAUUGGCAGCCGGCGUAUUGAUUUCGGAGCGCAGUACAUCUCGCGCUUUGCACUCAUAACGACAGCGUCCAAAAGUACAUUUUACACUCUUGACCUCGGAUCAGGUAGGGAUACCCGCUGAACUUAAGCAUAUCAAUAAGCGGAGGA